UUGCCUCCGCUGAGCAAAAUUAAAACCACAUUACACCGAACGUUACCGGCGACGUUGAGCAGAGGAACUGUGCGAGCCCUGCACUUGCUCACGUUGCCUCAGCAGGCAGAGAGGAGGGGAGGUGACAGAGCAGUUCCCCAACGGGCAUGCGAGCUCCGGCGGUCCCGGGACAGGCAGGGCACCCCAUCCCAGCACGGCAGUGGGGAAGACGCCAGGAGCCUCACCCAAGCCCGGCCCCAUCGGGGUGCGGUAUUGCUGCUCUUAGGGACGGGCUGCGAGCAAAGGGAGCGCUGGGUGAGGAGGAGUUACCCGCUGCCCCUAACGACAUGGGACAAAGAAACCUUGGGGAUCCUCGUUAAAACGUAAGGUGUGAUUAGCGUUACUGCGCUAUCAGAAAUAGCAAUUCCUACAUGGAAAAGGAUGGAAGUGUUGCACAGCAGCACUGCAAAAACAGGACCGGCUGAACCAUCAGCUUAGAUCUGCUUGGGCCAGCCAUGCUCAGUUAGUUACACAUCAGGACUGCCAGCAUACAAUGAUGUCACCGCUACAGAAACUUAAGUGAGACCCGACAGCAGUUCCGCCUUGAAAGUCACAGACCACAUCUCUGGGCAAGUACUUGUUUUGUUAAAUUAUUAUUAAUAUUUUUUAUUGUAGCACUGUAACAGGGACCUGCUUCAAUUUCAAGAGUGUGUAACAGAAGUCCAAAUAACAGAAAAAGUUUCAGAGCAGAAGCGUGGUCUGCAAGGUAUUAAUAUCCCAUAAGAGGAAAGCUGGAAGGUAAACUAAAAAUGGAAGAAUGAAGUUACCCAUAGAUGAGAGCUGGGAAUUAAGCUGACAAAGGCCUGUACUGUCCACCUUUUUUUUUAAAGAUCAAUGCAAACCUUUAUUUUCUAUAAAUAAUUUAAUAAAUACUUUUGUUUUACAAUGAUACAAUAAAUGACAAAUUCAUAGCAAAUGAGUCACAAAGAAUUUAGGAUCAGUAUACUUUAAUAAGGUAUCAGUGUCAAAAUACAUUUCCUUAUCAAAUUAAAGUUCCCAUAUAAUAUUGUCAAUAAGAAUUCAGCAAUAUAGAUUAUGAAAUAAUUACGAUAAAAAGUAUGAUUAAUAUUAAGACAGGGAAUAUUUUUCCAGAGUGUUUUAGUAAACUGUUAGGCUAUAUAACAUUUUUAAUGCUGAAACUACACAAAUAAGAAACAGAAUAAAAGCAGUAUUCAAGUGUCUUUAGUCUUUGAUGCCUUUAAGUCCUUGCCACUGAAAAAUGUCAAAUCUGGCUUGCCAAUUGUCAUUCAUUACACAUUGACUCUUAUGCUAUCCUUUUCCCAUAUAGGAAUAAAUGCACUUCAUGAGUAGCUUAUUUUUGGUAGAAAGAAAAAAAAAAAAAGAGCACAAAACAAAACAACUCUUGAAAGAUCUGCCUGCAGUAAGGACUAUUGUAAGGUUUUAUUUUAAACAUUAUAUACCACUACUAACGUAAGAUCUUUCAUUUUCAAAAGAGUGCACAGUAUCUAUGGUUAAGACUCACUUAACACAGCAAUCUCUGAAGUGCUCAAUGAACCCAAGGCUCCCUCUCUGCAAGUGUCAGUGCAUGUGGAAAGCAAAUUCAUAAAACAGGCUUCAGUGGAACUGGAUUUCUAAAACCAAUUACCUUUGUUCUCAGUUUCUGGGCCAGAUUUUAUACCUUCUGUACAUUGCCACUGUUCCAUUUUCUUCAGUGAAGCCACAACGAUUCAUACCAGUGGAGGAUACCAGAUGGAUUUCAAUAAAUACCUCAAUAUGUAGUUAUUUCAAAGUCAGAACUGCCUACCUACUUUUAUUAGUUUUAAUAUUUUUGCUGCUUAAAUACACUCCAAUUUUCAACCUUCAACAUUUGAAAGCAUUCAUAGCCUUAUUUCUAAAAAUGUGUAUGACAAUACAUCAUAGUUGAAAAAGAGCCCUGAAAACAUCUGAGUUUAAUAACAUUUCAGCACUUGAUUAAAACAUAAGGUAAGUUAAAAUGAGAAAAACCUGUCUUUCAGUAAUUCAUCUCACUACACCAUUCUUAAUUCUUUUUCUCCACUUACAAUUGAGUUAGCAUAAUAUGCCAGAAAAUACUACUCCUAGUUUCAAUAUUGAAAUUAUAUUGCUAGCCAGACAUACACCAGAAAAAAGGUAGCAGUAUUCAGAGGUGUUACUACUGGCCAUUGGUCACAUUCCUGAAGUAUUUUAACAUUCCAAGAAAUACUACUGGUUCUAGCAGAAACAGCUCUUAACUUUUUGUGUUCUAGAUGUAGCAAAAGUACCAAGAGAUGAUGAACAACUGACCCAAAGAGAAACUGUUAAAAAAAAAAAAAAAAGAUGUUUUGUGUAAAAAAAAAAUGAAGGGAACAACAAAGAAAAAAACAAAACCAAAAGUAGAACAAGCAAGAAACCCCAACGCAAACAAAAACACAGGUCUGAAUCCUCCACUGGGAUAAAUCUGUGGGACAGUCGUGUCCCUAGCACUAAGCUAGGUUAAGUCAGUAGAGGACGUGACUUGCUUCUGAGGAAAAAAGCUUACAGUGUGCAACCUUCACAGAUACCCACAAACACUGUCGUUGACCAUUCACAUUUCUUUCACCAAGGUGUAUAAAACUGAAGGGGAAGGGAGGAAGGCAGAAGGCUGGGAUUUCUCUUUAGUAUGCUUUUCCAGAAGUUAUUGAAGUUAGAAAGCAAUAAAUGCUGCAAAAUAGAAAGGCUCAAAGGAUUUCAAUUUGGCAAAUGAACAAAAAACUGUGGUUGGAGAUCAAAUUUGUUUCAUUUGUCUUUGGCAAUAAAAAUAAAUCUUUGCAGUACUGCAGCCAAAGUAUCAUGCGACAAGGCAUUUAUACCACAGCUUUUUACUAGCAUGAAAAUCGAAGGAAAUUUGAGUAUAAAUUACAGGUAACAAGAUAAAGGGAAGGUAAUCAAACUCUCUAAACAACACUUUAAUUGGAAUAGAGAAAAUACAGUAGAUGUAUUUCUUUAAUAUGAAUAAUAGAAGUGAGUAACUUCAAAAGGCCACUAUUUGGUAACGUGGACAGAUUCAAUAUCUAUGUAAAAUCCUGUAAAAGUGUAUUGGUAUUAGAAAUCGUCUACUUGCAAAAAUAUAUUUAAAAACUGAAGCUGUUUUGAACAGUAUAGGCCAAUACUGCAGGAUUGCUCAGGUUGUCUGGUCCAGGGCUCUGAGCAGUUCGCUGCCCUGCAGAAGCGUGGAACUGCCCAAAACAGGGACGUUUACCUCACAGUCAUAUCUUGUCAACUCAGGCAGCAAAUAUGGUUCAUAGGAAGACCCCAGCAGACGACUCGUCACACCUGAAACAGUAAAUCAGGAUGCUGAGAUUGGAGGGAGAGAAUGAGGGCAAGAGAAUGUUUCCUCCUCUUCUGUUUAUACCAGUUACUACUAUGUAUUGUACUUAUGCCAGCACACCUCAGACUACCAACAGUUAACAUUUUCAGAGCAAAUACAAAGCAUCUCUGCUUUAUGGGAUUACAAGCACAAAGUUUUCCACUUCCACUCUAAAUUCAGAUUGUUCAGAGGAAAAUGACACCAGUGAAAAUGAAGAAGGCUAUAGUAACAUAGCUCAUAAAAUGACAGCCUUGCUCUAUCUCCAUACAUCUCCUUUCAUUGCAGAUAUUAAUUUUUAGAAGGCAGAUGUUGGUCUGUAAUCCACAAACAUGAGCUACCACUGCUGCACUGAAGUUGCUUAGUACAGUUUAAUCACCUUUGUCACAAGACAAGAACAUGCAGGAAGAUGACUAGACUACUAAGAAACAACAUUUACUCAUUAGUCAUCACGGCAAGAUAUUAAAAAAACAGGCAGUUGCUUAUAUCCCUUAUCCGGUCUACAGAAGCUCCCAGUUUCUGAAGCUCUGCUUCUUUCUUUUCUGCACUGCCACAGUGACACCUCCAAGAGUUAGGAGCUGAAGGCAUCAGCAACACAAAUAAAGUGAAAGGAGCCUUAGCACAAUAUUUGUUUUAAGUGGCUGAAGAAAUGACAUCACUUUUAAAAAGGACCUUCCAUUCAGAGAAGACCAUGCACAUUCCUACCAAGCUGCUAUCAACUAGCAUCAACAACUUCUUUUAG